AUACCAAUCUAGCCUGGCUAGGUGUUGGGCUCCGCCGUCUGGCGGGCCUUAAAACUAGUGGCGGUGCCCUUCGGCUCUACGCGUAGUAAUUUUCUCGCUAUAGGGUCCGGAGGGAUGCUGGCCAGCAACCCCAAAUUUUUCUA
rnacentral:misc_RNA from 1 species